rnacentral:rRNA from 1 species
AUUGAACGCUGGCGGCAUGCUUUACACAUGCAAGUCGAACGGUAACAGGGUGCUUGCACCGCUGACGAGUGGCGAACGGGUGAGUAAUGCAUCGGAAUGUACCGUGUAAUGGGGGAUAGCUCGGCGAAAGCCGGAUUAAUACCGCAUACGCCCUGAGGGGGAAAGUGGGGGAGCGAAAGGCCUCACGUGAUACGAGCAGCCGAUGUCUGAUUAGCUAGUUGGUGAGGUAAAGGCUCACCAAGGCGUCGAUCAGUAGCGGGUCUGAGAGGAUGAUCCGCCACACUGGAACUGAGACACGGCCCAGACUCCUGCGGGAGGCAGCAGUGGGGAAUUUUGGACAAUGGGCGCAAGCCUGAUCCAGCCAUGCCGCGUGUCUGAAGAAGGCCUUCGGGUUGUAAAGGACUUUUGUCCGGGAGCAAAUCCUAGUGGUUAAUAACCGCUGGGUCUGAGAGUACCGGAAGAAUAAGCACCGGCUAACUACGUG